rfam:Myotis brandtii contig267403, whole genome shotgun sequence.
GGUGGUUCUCAGGUGACACACCCUGGAAUUGGGCUCCCUCCUCUUUGGCUCUGGGUAUGUCACCUGCCGAGAGCCAUA